ACGGUGCUGGGUUUCUCGAGUGUUUAGCGUACGGACGGCUUUUCUGCCAGAAGGCCAGCCAUUGCCAAUACGACACUGUCGGACGGGUUUUCAACGGCCAUUGCGGAAAUGCUAUGCUAAGGCGCGAAGUUGGCGGCGCGGAAUCGAACGCGGGACACCCGAGGAGGGCGCCAGCAAAAGCCUAUUUGAACGUUGUCGGGCGCGUUCGUGAUGU